CCUACGGGAGGCCGCAGUGAGGAAUAUUGGUCAAUGGACGUGAGCCUGAACCAGCCAAGUAGCGUGAAGGAUGACUGUUCUAUGGAUUGUAAACUUCUUUUAUAAAGGAAUAAAGUGAGGGACGUGUCCCGUUUUGUAUGUACCUUAUGAAUAAGUAUCGGCGAACUCCGUGCAAGCAGCCGCGGUAAUACGGAGGAUCCGAGCGUUAUCCGGAUUUAUUGGGUUGAAAGGGUGCGUAGGAGGCUUGUUAAGUCAGUUGUGAAAGGUUGUGGCUCAAACGUAGAAUUGACGUUGAUACUGGCAGUCUUGAGUACAGUUGAGGUAGGCGGAAUGCGUGGUGUAGCGGUGAAAUGCUUAGAUAUCACGCAGAACCCCGAUUGCGAAGGCAGCUUACUAAGCUGUGACUGACGUUGAUGCACGAAAGUGUGGGGAUCAAACAGGAUUAGAUACCCCUGUAGUC
rnacentral:rRNA from 1 species